rnacentral:rRNA from 1 species
UACGUAGGGUGCAAGCGUUGUCCGGAAUUAUUGGGCGUAAAGAGCUCGUAGGCGGUUUGUUGCGUCGGCUGUGAAAUCCCGAGGCUCAACCUCGGGUCUGCAGUCGAUACGAGCAAACUAGAGUGUUGCAGGGGAGACUGGAAUUCCUGGUGUAGCGGUGAAAUGCGUAGAUAUCAGGAGGAACACCGGUGGCGAAGGCGGCUACCUGGACAGAAACUGACGCUGAGGCGCGAAAGCUAGGGGAGCAAACAGG